rnacentral:rRNA from 1 species
AUUGAACGCUGGCGGCAGGCCUAACACAUGCAAGUCGAGCGGAUGAAGGGAGCUUGCUCCUGGAUUCAGCGGCGGACGGGUGAGUAAUGCCUAGGAAUCUGCCUGGUAGUGGGGGAGAAUGUCCGGAAACGGGCGCUAAUACCGCAUACGUGCUGAGGGAGAAAGUGGGGGAUCUUCGGACCUCACGCUAUCAGAGGAGUCUAGGUCGGAUUAGCUAGUUGGUGGGGUAAAGGCCUACCAAGGCGACGAUCCGUAACUGGUCGGAGAGGAUGAUCAGUCACACGGGAAUUGAGACACGGUCCAGACUCCUACGGGAGGCAGCAGUGGGGAAUAUUGGACAAUGGGCGAAAGCCUGAUCCAGCCAUGCCGCGUGUGUGAAGAAGGUCUUCGGAUUGUAAAGCACUUUAAGUUGGGAGGAAGGGCAGUAAGUUAAUACCUUGCUGUUUUGACGUUACCAACAGAAUAAGCACCGGCUAACUUCGUG